ACAAGAAAUAUUUUGGAGAAGUUAGAUAGGGCAGAGGCAGAAGUAGACGCAAUUUAACAUGAAGGAUUGUGAAGGCAAAAGAUGAACCAGCCAGCCUAGUCUCUGGAUGCGUGAGCUCCAAGUGUGGAGGAGACCCGGAGAGAAAAGCAGACUGUUCUCUGUGUUUACCUGUAAGCACAGGCCGCGACCUGCCAUGCUGUUUUUAAAUGCCCAAGGGCUGGUGACAAGAGGGUUUCCCUUUGCCGUCUGGACCUGAUUGUCUUAGAGAGUCUCACUCUGCUGUCCAGGCUGGAGUGCAGUGGCGUGAUCUCGGCUCACCGCAAUCUCUACCUCCUGAUCAAGCGAUUCUUGUGCCUCAGCCUCCUGAGUAGCCAUGAUUACAGGCGCGUGCUACCACAACCAGCUAAUUUUUUUUUUUUUUUCUCUUUUGAGACAAGUUUUGCUCUUGUUGCCCAGGCUGGAGUGCAAUGACACAAUCUCGGCUCGCUGCAACCUCCGCCUCCCGGCUUCAAGUGGUUCUCCUGCCUCAGCCUCCCAAGUAGCUGGGAUUACAGGCAUGUGCCACCACGCCCAGCUAAUUUUUUGUUUUUA